UUACCUACGGGGGGCAGCAGUAGGGAAUCUUCCACAAUGGACGAAAGUCUGAUGGAGCAACGCCGCGUGAGUGAAGAAGGGUUUCGGCUCGUAAAGCUCUGUUGGUAGUGAAGAAAGAUAGAGGUAGUAACUGGCCUUUAUUUGACGGUAAUUACUUAGAAAGUCACGGCUAACUACGUGCCAGCGGCCGCGGUAAUACGUAGGUGGCAAGCGUUAUCCGGAAUUACUGGGUGUAAAGGGUGUGUAGGCGGGGGUGGCAGCCCGAUGUGAAAAUU
rnacentral:rRNA from 1 species